GACGAACGCUUGCGGCGUGCCUAAGAAAUGCAAGUCGAGCGAGGCCAGAGUGCUUGCACUUGAAGCCUAGCGGCGAACGGUCGCGUAACACGUAAGCAACCUGCCCCUAAGUGGGGGAUAGCCCACCGAAAGGUGGAUUAAUACCGCAUGUGAACACAUUUUCUUAUGUAGGUGUGUUUAAAGCAGCGAUGCGCUUAGGGAUGGGCUUGCGGCCUAUCAGCUAGUUGGAGAGGUAACGGCUCACCAAGGCGACGACGGGUAGCUGGUCUGAGAGGAUGGUCAGCCGGACUGGGACUGAGAUACGGCCCAGACUCCUACGGGGGGCAGCAAUUAGGAAUCUUGCACAAUGGGCGAAAGCCUGAUGCAGCGACGCCGCGUGAAGGAUGAAGGCCUUCGGGUUGUAAACUGCUUUUAAGAGGGAAGAACAAAAUGACGGUACCUCUUGAAUAAGCCCCGGCUAACUACGUGCCAGCAGCCGCGGUAAUAC
rnacentral:rRNA from 1 species